rnacentral:lncRNA from 1 species
CCCAUUAGGGUUCAGGUGAUGGUCUAACCUGCUGUGCCUCCUCCAUCAUGGGCUUGAUGAACACUGACUGGAUUUGAAUGCCCAAAAGUCUGGGACUGAGUCAAGCUGUCUGGAACUACUGUCUGGAAGAGCCUCUUCCCCAUCCCAGCAACUGUACCCAUCAAUCAGGAACUGUUGCUGAACCCAGGGCUGCCUGGAUAAACAUUUAUAAGACCCAGAGGGAUCAUUAGUGGAGGGUAGAGGAUGUCUUUGCUUGAACCCAAGUCCAAAACUGAACUCACCCUUUGCCCUUUAACUCAUAGAAAUUCAAAUGAGGCAAAGGUGAGGAGAGAGAACAACUUAAAUCAGUGGUUCUCAACCUUGUCUGCACCUUAGAAUCUCUAAGGAGCUUUUAAGAAUUCAGAUGCCUACGCUGUUCUCUAGAAGGAUGGAAUCAGAAUCUCUGGGGGUGGAACCCAGGCAUCUGUAUUUUUCAAAGCUCCCCAGGUGAUUCCAAUGUGCAGCCAAGGUUGAGAAUCAUAGACUCAAAUAGUGCUUGGAGUUCC